GAGGUUGCUAGUACCGCACAACAUCUCAGAGGUGUGGACCCACUUGUGUGGGCUGUUCUACUUCAUCUUCCUGCGGUAGUUCAGUCUCUUCCCUUCAGGCUGCUCUUCACCUCUGAAUCUGAAUUGAAAUAGAUGUCACAGGCAUUCCUGACCACAGCAAACCUCAGAAAAUAGCCGCCAAUACCCUUGGCCUUGUACAGCUGACCCUAUUUGAACUAUGAUUACCUCUCCAAAAUUCACCCAGAUUGUAUUGACAACCAGCAUAAAGUAUGAGCCAGUCUGCCCGAAAGCCAUGAAGAUGGGCUUCAUGUGCCGUGUUACUCAAGUCUGCCUUGCAGUGAUUCAGACUGCUACAGAGGACUGCAGAGGGAACGCAAGGUGCUUGCAGGAUCUGCUGGGUGAAUGGUGACCCCCAAGCAAACACACUGUUUAUUCAGAAAUAUUUCAGGCUGUUUUCAGGAGCCGGGAGAAUACUGAUUUCUGAUCGUGCUUACCUCUUAAAGAGGAGCACGCAAUUCUCAGCGGUAACUUUCCAUUUCAAUGGCUACUGAAAGAAAUCUGUUUUGGGAAUUGCCUUUCCUUAUUUGUGUAAAAAUCCUUUUAUGCCAUUAAGACGCUUUGCAAAGAAAAACAAGAUCUAGGGGCUUGUCGAGGCACAGUUUUCACUACCCAGUAGAGUUAGUCUCAUUAAAAUGGACCUCAUCUCCUCGCUGCUCCUGCACAUACUGUCAGUUUAUCACAGAUCAUCUGACAUGUCUAAAAUGGAAAGGAUGACGUAAAGCAGGAAAAAGAGCUCAAGACUGAAAAAAACCCCCAAACAAAAAUUACAAAGACUUUGGAGAAACAGCUCGCAGGAUAAGAUGCCUGUAUACAAACUUGUCAAGUCUUCAGGGCGCCUAUGUGCCAGCCACAGGGAACAAUAAGCGUUCGGGGCUGCGCACCGCUCUCUGCCCUCGCCCAGCUCUGCACGGAGCAGUGUGCACUCCUGGAGCUCAGCGCACAGGAGUAACCUUCUUAGGAAAACCUUUUCCAAAAAAACCCUGCAGGGACACCUCCCUGUCUCUCCCCCCAGCCACAGCCCAGCCCAAAGAGUGCAAUACAGCCAAGAAGGGCUGCGACUGGCGGGGGCUGUCUGCCCGUCCUCCAGCCCAGGCCCCGUGCCAACAUAAGGCAGGCCACUUUGGGGCUUUCAGGCACUUCUCGAAGGCGGCGGACCUGAAUGUUGGUGUAUCCUUGAGUUUUGGGCUGGGAGCUAGGAAACAGCAGAAGCGCCUGGAUGAAAGAAGGCAAAAAAGCCCUCUGAGACCUCCUCCAGGUCAAUGAGGAGUGCAAAUCCCGUGCUCCGCCUGACAAAAGGCAACAACCGGAAAAUUACCAGGAGACAGAGGGGACAUUGAGAAACCCCCAGGACAUGGAGCAGUGCAGCUGCGGGAAGCACGGGGGGCGAGGGCAGUCGGGGGGAACCACUGUGCCUGCUGGGGAAAUAAAAUCCCCUUUGCCCCUUGCGUGGGCUGGGGUGCGACAGCUCCCGGCAAAGAGCUGCUGCUGCCUUUUCUCCCGAAGCUGGAGGGCAAAGCCUCAGCAGGAGAUGCUGCAGCGCUCAAGUGGGCCCGGCGAGGGGAGUCCUCGGCUGAUGGAUGAGGAUGGCUGCGUGCUGCAGGGAGCUGCUGGCCUCUGAGGUGGCCUCGCUGAGGUCCAUUCCCUCCCUUCCUGAGGAUGGAAAUGCCCCCAGAGGGAGCUUGCUGUGGGAGACGUAAAUUCUCCUGUUGGUUUCUGCGUGACGGCAGUAAAUUCUUUUAUUGCUCCUUAAGCUGAAUUUUCCACGGUCAGUUUUCCUAGGAGACUAUUUUUGCACGCAUUUCCUCGUCGCCUGGACAAGACCAAGACAAAUUUGAAGCCAGACCAUUGCAAUAACUCAGCUUCACACAACAAGCCCGGUUCAGUAGCAGUGGGGCAAACAAACAGUCCGGGGAUUGAUGGGAAGAGAGAUUUAAAUGUUGAAAUAGAGUGUCUUACACUGGCUGGGGAUUCAGUGGGUUUUCAACAUAAACUGGCAGAGACUGGAGAGCAGGCAGGGGAAAUGGUGACGAUAGCAGGAAAAAA